GAUCCAAUUAUUGUCUACGCAAAAUGAAGUACAUCGCCGUAUGUCUGUUAUUAUGUUUCACUACUGUCGUGCUGAGUCGCCGCACGCCAGAGGAGUGGAAAGAUCGCAAGAUUUACCAGAUUUUGACUGAUAGGUUCUCGGCACCCGGAUCAGCGUCUUGGAUGCCUUGCGGGGAUCUCACUGAAUACUGUAAUGGCAACUUUCAAGGAAUCAUUGAACAGCUGGACUAUAUCCAAGGCAUGGGUUUCAAUGCCAUCUGGAUUUCACCAGUCCCAGAACACACCGAAGGAGAUUACCAUGGUUACUCUGCUAUCGAUUUCUAUAAAGUCAGUUGGCAUUGGGGAACAAGUCAAGACUUCUUUGACUUGAUAGCGGCGGCUCACGCAAGAGAUAUAUGGAUUAUGGUUGACGUAGUGGCAAAUCAUAUGGGGAUUGGUGAUAUAUCUACAUACAACCCAUUCAAUCAACCGGAACACUUUCACGAGUAUUGUACUAUAGACGACUGGUCUAAUGACUGGCAGGUGGAGAAUUGCUGGCUCUUUAACCUUCCCGAUUUGGCUCAAGAAAACCCGUAUGUCGACACCGAGCUGUGCACAUGGAUUGAUUGGUUUAUUAAAACAUUUGACUUUGAUGGUCUGAGAAUAGACACAGUUUCACAUGUUCCGAAAUGGUUCUGGGAGCACUUUUACGCCGCGGCAAACAUAUACGAAGUCGGGGAGGUUUACACCAGCGAUCUAGACAAGAAUACAAUCAUAUAUACCACCCAUGGAUGCCGCGCUCAACUACCCGCUUUACUGGGCUAUGAAGGACGCUUUCAUAUGGGGAGGAACCAUGCGAGAUAUCGCUAAUAUGUACCGUGACGAGAAAUACCGUUUUGGUGAUGGACUACAUCUUUUUGGUAAUUUUGCUGACAACCAUGACCAAGCCAGGUUCCUGUGCGAUAAGGAUUCUUGGACACUGCUCAAGAACUAUAUAAUGCUCGUGCUGACUAUGGAGGGUAUUCCUAUAGUUUACUAUGGUACUGAACAAGGCUAUGACGGAUGUGCUGAUCCUAAUAACAGGGAGUCUCUGUACCCGAAUUUCGAUACUAACCACCAUCUGUAUCUGUUCAUUCAAAGGACCCACCAGUUCCGUGACUUACUCGGAGCGAAUUUCCUGAAUGCCGAUCAAAUUGAAAGAUGGCAGGACGACUCCUUCUUUGCAUUUACAAGGCAUGAUAUGUUAGUUUGUUCAACCAAUAUUGGAGACAAUAACAAUCUGCAGCGAACGAU